rnacentral:tRNA from 1 species
GAAGUCGAGGGGUUAAAAUCCCCCUUCUG